GUNNGGGAAUUCUUCGGCCAUGGACGGAAGUCUGACCGAGCAACGCCGCGUGAGUGAAGAAGGUUUUCGGAUCGUAAAGCUCUGUUGUAAGAGAAGAACGAGUGUGAGAGUGGAAAGUUCACACUGUGACGGUAUCUUACCAGAAAGGGACGGCUAACUACGUGCCAGCAGCCGCGGUAAUACGUAGGUCCCGAGCGUUGUCCGGAUUUAUUGGGCGUAAAGCGAGCGCAGGCGGUUAGAUAAGUCUGAAGUUAAAGGCUGUGGCUUAACCAUAGUACGCUUUGGAAACUGUUUAACUUGAGUGCAAGAGGGGAGAGUGGAAUUCCAUGUGUAGCGGUGAAAUGCGUAGAUAUAUGGAGGAACACCGGUGGCGAAAGCGGCUCUCUGGCUUGUAACUGACGCUGAGGCUCGAAAGCGUGGGGAGCAAACAGGAUUAGAUACCCUGGUAGUCCACGCCGUAAACGAUGAGUGCUUAGGUGUUAGACCCUUUCCGGGGUUUAGUGCCGCAGCUAACGCAUUAAGCACUCCGCCUGGGGAGUACGACCCGCAAGGGUUG
rnacentral:rRNA from 1 species